GUCGGAUGCGUUUUAUGCCUAUUUUAGUUAGCAGCCUAAUUAUUACUGGCUUAACUUGACUUAAUGUUCUAGACGGGACAGAGGGCGUUACACAUUUUGACUUCGGCUGAGCGCUGCGAGUGGAGCCCUCGUCACGCUCACGUGCUGCAUGAUCAAAAAGCGCCGCUAGGAGCGAAGCGACAAUCUAUCCGAACGGAAUGAAAUAGAAUGCAAGGGAGAGUGGAGUGUAGUUAUGUGCAGCAAGAACAAGCUGUAUGACUGCACUCCAUUGAAAUAUAAAUGUAGGUCAUCAUUAUCGUCAGCAAAAUGUGUGAGGACAGACGAUUAGACGAGCCAGAAAACCAACAAUAAGAUGUAUUAAUAAAUACAACAUUGACAAAGACCGCCAAAACACCUGGCGGCUGGCCAAACAGAAAAAAAUCUACGCACGUGCUGUACUACUGCGAAUUAAACUUUAAAUGAUGCAAAAAAUAUGGAAAAAUUCUGUUUUUUGACAGCGUUCAUUCCGCACCUAAAGUGCGGAAUGAACUUCACUACCACACCAUCGUGUCUUCUGUUUAAAGAGUUUCUAAACAAUUCAUUCGACAGACCAGACAUUGUUUCUUUAACCAAGAUGUCUGCGACUCCCACCGCCAUUUUUGAUAGAAUCGUUACGUUUGUGUUACGUAAGAUGUGUUCUUAAUAUUAUAUCUGUUUACCGUCGUAAGCACUUCUUGUAUUUGAAAAACUGUUACACUAAAUUUAAAAAUAUAACUUUACCGCAUUAC